rnacentral:rRNA from 1 species
CGCUGGCGGCGUGCUUAAUACAUGCAAGUCAACUUGACUUUAGAUAGCAAUAUCGAAAGUAGGGUGGCGCACGGGUGCGUAACGCGUAGGUAAUCUGCCCUGAGGUCUGACAUAACCCGUCGAAAGGCGGGCUAACAUCAGAUGAUAUAUAAUCACGACAUCGUGGAAAUAUCAAAUCUUCGGAGCCUUGGGAUGAGCCUGCGUCUGAUUAGGUAGUUGGCGGAGUAAUAGCCCACCAAGCCUACGGUCAGUAGCUGGUCUGAGAGGAUGAUCAGCCACACUGGAACUGAGACACGGUCCAGACUCCUACGGGAGGCAGCAGUAAGGAAUAUUGCUCAAUGGGGGGAAACCCUGAAGCAGCAACGCCGCGUGAAGGAUGAAAUACUUUGUAUGUAAACUUCUGUAAGAUGGGAAAAAUAUUCUCCUCGGGAGAAUUGAUUGUACCAUCAGAGUAAGCCCCGGCUAACUACGUG